GAUGAAGAACGCAGCGAAAUGCGAUAAGUAAUGUGAAUUGCAGAAUUCAGUGAAUCAUCGAGUCUUUGAACGCACAUUGCGCCCCCUGGUAUUCCGGGGGGCACGCCUGUCCGAGCGUCAUUGCCGCCCUCAAGCACGGCUUGUGUGUUGGGCCCCCGCCCCCGGCUUCGGGGGGCGGGCCCGAAAGGCAGCGGCGGCACCGCGUCCGGUCCUCGAGCGUAUGGGGCUUCGUCACCCGCUCUGUAGGCCCGGCCGGCGCCCGCCGGCGACCCCAAUCAAUCUUUCCAGGUUGACCUCGGAUCAGGUAGGGAUACCCGCUGAACUUAAGCAUAUCAAUAAGCGGAGGA
rnacentral:misc_RNA from 1 species